rnacentral:rRNA from 1 species
AACACCUCUACGAAAGAGGAGGCUUAACUAACCCGAAAAGGGUCAAGAAAUGAUCAGAGUACGAAAGGCGUGAGGAGAGGAGCCCGCGGCCCAUCAGCUAGUUGGUGAGUAAUGGCUUACCAAGGCUACGACGGGUAGGGGAUCUGAGAGGAUGUCCCCCACACUGGAACUGAAACACGGUCCAGACGCCUACGGGUGGCAGCAGUGAGGAAUAUUGGACAAUGGGCGAAAGCCCGAUCCAGCAACGCCGCGUGGAGGAUGAAGGCCUUCGGGUCGUAAACUUCUUUAGAGGGAGACGAGAAAGGACGGUAUCCCUAGAAUAAGCGACGGCAAACUACGUG